rnacentral:misc_RNA from 1 species
GAUGAAGAACGUAGCGAAAUGCGAUAAGUAAUGUGAAUUGCAGAAUUCAGUGAAUCAUCGAAUCUUUGAACGCACAUUGCGCCCCUUGGUAUUCCAUGGGGCAUGCCUGUUCGAGCGUCAUUAUCACCCCUCAAGCCCUCGGCUUGGUGUUGGACGGUUUGGUGGAGUCCCCCUCGGGGGUUCCUGCCCCUCCCAAAGACAAUGACGGCGGCCUCGUUGGACCCCCGGUACACUGAGUUCUUCACGGGACACGUAUCGGACACAUGGGUUUACGGGACACGGUCUGCCUCCCCUCAGGGAGAAUCUUUCUAAGGUUGACCUCGGAUCAGGUAGGGAUACCCGCUGAACUUAAGCAUAUCAAUAAGCGGAGGA